GGCAACGCCGAGUGGUUAAGGCGAAAGAUUAGAAAUCUUUUGGGCUUUGCCCGCGCAGGUUCGAGUCCUGCAGUUGUCG
rnacentral:tRNA from 1 species